CUGGAGCAGGAAGUGCUGAGAAAAGAAAUUAUCAUAUAAAUGGUGAAGUCACUGCAGCCAUAGAACUAGAGUAACACACCAUUACCAAAGGCUGAGGCUGAUACUUGUGAUAAGUGUUCCUUAAACUAAGGUUUGCGGGCAACAUCAAAUUAUCACUAAGAAAUUUCCAGGCACGUCUAAAUUAUUACUAGGGGACCUAAUGUGGUCGAAGACCCUGUCUUCAGUAUUCCUUGCAAGGGGUAACAAUUCCAACUCUCUUACUUAGAAGCUAUGAGGUCUUGGACCAAUGAAGACAACACAAACUUUACAAGGAGCAAUGACGCCAGUAGCAGUUAAUUCACUGUUGGGGGGAUGUUAUGCAACACAAACAACACACAAAAUGAGAAGGAACUAUAUGUAGAAUCUUUAAAGACCAUCUACCAAUUCAAAUCUCUACUAUACUGCAAAGACUUCCCAGAUACAAAUACAAGGCACCAAGUUAGAUCUGAAUUUCUGAUGAACAAUAAAAAAUGUUUUAAUAUAAA